UACAUUUUCUGCUCAAGUGUUGUUUUACACACAGAGACGUACUGUAGGAGAGUUUGAUGACACACAGAGACCUACUGUGGAGAGUUGAUGACACACAGAGACUUACUGUAGGAUGAGUUGAUGACACAGAGGUCUACUGUAGGAGAGUUGAUGACACACAGAGAUCUAACUGUAGGAGAGUUGAUGACACACAGAGACCUACUGUAGGAGAGUUGAUGACACACAGAGCCUACUGUAGGAGAGUGAUGACACACAGAGGUCUCUGUAUGGAGAGUUGAUGACACACAGAGACCUACUGUAGGAGAGUUGAUGACACACAGAGGUCUACUGUAGGAGAGUUGAUGACACACAGAGACCUACUGUAGGAGAGUUGAUGACACACAGAGACUCUACUGUAGGAGAGUUGAUGACACAAAGAGACCUACUGUAGGAGAGUGAUGACACACAGAGACUACUGUAGGAGAGUUGAUGACACACAGAGACCUACUGUAGGAGAGUUGAUGACACACAGAGGCUACUGUAGGAGAGUUGAGACACACGAGACCUACUGUAGGAGAGUUUGAUGACACACAGAGACAUACUGUACGGAGAGUUGAUGACACACAGAGACCUACUGUAGGAGAGUUGAUGACACACAGAGACCUACUGUAGGAGAGUUGAUGACA